rnacentral:rRNA from 1 species
UACGGAGGGUCCAAGCGUUAUCCGGAAUCAUUGGGUUUAAAGGGUCCGCAGGCGGGCAAUUAAGUCAGAGGUGAAAUCCCACAGCUCAACUGUGGAACUGCCUUUGAUACUGGUUGUCUUGAGUUAUAGUGAAGUAGAUAGAAUAUGUAGUGUAGCGGUGAAAUGCAUAGAUAUUACAUAGAAUACCGAUUGCGAAGGCAGUCUACUAACUAUAUACUGACGCUGAUGGACGAAAGCGUGGGGAGCGAACAGGAUUAGAUACCCCCGUA